rnacentral:rRNA from 1 species
GAUGAACGCUAGCGGCAGGCUUAACACAUGCAAGUCGAGGGGCAGCAUGGGACGGAGAUUCGUCGAAGUCCUGAUGGCGACCGGCGCAAGGGUGCGUAACGCGUGAGCAACUUGCCCGUUUCUGGGGAAUAACCGGUGGAAACGCCGACUAAUACCCCAUGGCAUCAAUGAGAGGCAUCUUUUGUUGAUUAAAGAAUUUCGGAAACGGAUAGGCUCGCGUGACAUUAGCUAGAUGGCGGGGUAACGGCCCACCAUGGCGACGAUGUCUAGGGGUUCUGAGAGGAAGGUCCCCCACACUGGAACUGAGACACGGUCCGG